GUCUUGCAAUGCGCCUCCACCCACAAGUGCCCUUUUUCUUGUCUAGUGAUCGGCAGCCAAUCAGAGGGGCUCACACCAGUCCCUCUCCUCAGACAUAAAAGCUCCCAGCUGGUUGGCUUUUCAAACGAACACUUGGCAUCACUCAACGUUUGACUUAAAACCCAAAUUUUUAAAAAAUCAUGGGAGCCGGCCCUUCUGCCCCUACAGGAAACCCAGGAGGUUUUAUGGCACACAUACCUCCUGCUGGGGCGACAAUCGGUUAUCCCCAACCGAGCCCUGCUCUAGACCCCACCGACCUCUCAUUGCCGCCAGGUCCAUCACUGAGUCCACCAUCGUCGAUGACUCCGAGGUUUUCCCCUUGAAGCUCUGGCUGCUGUGUAUUAAGCCACUGUUUUACUCCCUGGUGUCUAUUUUAAAUGUCAGUUUAUUUUCAAGAAAUCUGUAUUCCAGUUCUUCUUUUGUGUGUGGAGGGCAAAGAGUAAAUAAAAUGACAAUAUUGAAUACAAA